AGUUGGUGGAGUGAUUUGUCUGGUUAAUUCCGAUAACGAACGAGACUCUAGCCUACUAAAUAGACUGUUGGUUUUGUUGCCAACAACGCUUCUUAGAGGGACUAGUGACGUUCAGUCACGUGAAGGAGAGCAAUAACAGG
rnacentral:rRNA from 1 species